GCCGGGUGUGGUGGCGCGUGCCUGUAAUUCCAGCUACUUAGGAGGCUGAGACAGGAGAAUUGCUUGAACCCAGGAGGCGGGGGUUGCAGUGAGCGUAGAUCGUGCCACUGCACUCCAGCCUGGGCGACAGAGCAAGACUCUGUCUCGA
rnacentral:SRP_RNA from 1 species